CCUACGGGCGGCUGCAGUGGGGAAUUUUGGACAAUGGGCGAAAGCCUGAUCCAGCAAUGCCGCGUGUGUGAAGAAGGCCUUCGGGUUGUAAAGCACUUUUGUCCGGAAAGAAAUCGCUCUGGUUAAUACCUGGGGUCGAUGACGGUACCGGAAGAAUAAGGACCGGCUAACUACGUGCCAGCAGCCGCGGUAAUACGUAGGGUCCAAGCGUUAAUCGGAAUUACUGGGCGUAAAGCGUGCGCAGGCGGUUGUGCAAGACCGAUGUGAAAUCCCCGAGCUUAACUUGGGAAUUGCAUUGGUGACUGCACGGCUAGAGUGUGUCAGAGGGGGGUAGAAUUCCACGUGUAGCAGUGAAAUGCGUAGAGAUGUGGAGGAAUACCGAUGGCGAAGGCAGCCCCCUGGGAUAACACUGACGCUCAUGCACGAAAGCGUGGGGAGCAAACAGGAUUAGAUACCCUGGUAGUC
rnacentral:rRNA from 1 species